rnacentral:rRNA from 1 species
CCGUACGUGAACCUGCGGAAGGAUCAUUA